rnacentral:rRNA from 1 species
GAUGAACGCUAGCGGCAGGCCUAACACAUGCAAGUCGAGGGGCAUCACGGAUUGCUUGCAAUCUGUGGCGACCGGCGCACGGGUGCGUAACGCGUAUACAACCUACCUUUUAGCGGGGAAUAGCCCAGGGAAACUUGGAUUAAUGCCUCAUAGUAUAUAAGCUUCUCCUGAAGUUUAUAUUAAACAUUUAUGGCUAUUAGAUGGGUAUGCGUCCUAUUAGUUAGUUGGUAAGGUAACGGCUUACCAAGGCAGCGAUAGGUAGGGGUCCUGAGAGGGAGAUCCCCACACUGGUACUGAGACACGGACCAGACUCCUACGGGAGGCAGCAGUGAGGAAUAUUGGACAAUGGGCGAGAGCCUGAUCCAGCCAUGCCGCGUGCAGGAAGACUGCCCUAUGGGUUGUAAACUGCUUUUACAGAGGAAGAACCACCCCCACGUGUGGGGGUUUGACGGUACUCUGCGAAUAAGGAUCGGCUAACUCCGUG